rnacentral:rRNA from 1 species
CAGCCGCCGCGGUAAUACGUAGGUGGCAAGCGUUGUCCGGAAUUAUUGGGCGUAAAGGGCUCGCAGGCGGUUUCUUAAGUCUGAUGUGAAAGCCCCCGGCUCAACCGGGGAGGGUCAUUGGAAACUGGGAAACUUGAGUGCAGAAGAGGAGAGUGGAAUUCCACGUGUAGCGGUGGAAUGCGUAGAGAUGUGGAGGAACACCAGUGGCGAAGGCGACUCUCUGGUCUGUAACUGACGCUGAGGAGCGAAAGCUAGGGGAGCAAACAGGAUUAGAUACCCCCGUAGUCCCUGUCUCUUAUAC